GAACGCUAGCUACAGGCUUAACACAUGCAAGUCGAGGGGCAGCAUUUUAGUUUGCUUGCAAACUGAAGAUGGCGACCGGCGCACGGGUGAGUAACACGUAUCCAACCUGCCGAUAACUCCGGGAUAGCCUUUCGAAAGAAAGAUUAAUACCGGAUAGCAUACGAAUAUCGCAUGAUAUUUUUAUUAAAGAAUUUCGGUUAUCGAUGGGGAUGCGUUCCAUUAGUUUGUUGGCGGGGUAACGGCCCACCAAGACUACGAUGGAUAGGGGUUCUGAGAGGAAGGUCCCCCACAUUGGAACUGAGACACGGUCCAAACUCCUACGGGAGGCAGCAGUGAGGAAUAUUGGUCAAUGGGCGCGAGCCUGAACCAGCCAAGUAGCGUGAAGGAUGAAGGCUCUAUGGGUCGUAAACUUCUUUUAUAUGGGAAUAAAGUUCUCCACGUGUGGAAUUUUGUAUGUACCAUAUGAAUAAGGAUCGGCUAACUCCGUGCCAGCAGCCGCGGUAAUACGGAGGAUCCGAGCGUUAUCCGGAUUUAUUGGGUUUAAAGGGAGCGUAGGUGGAUUGUUAAGUCAGUUGUGAAAGUUUGCGGCUCAACCGUAAAAUUGCAGUUGAAACUGGCAGUCUUGAGUACAGUAGAGGUGGGCGGAAUUCGUGGUGUAGCGGUGAAAUGCUUAGAUAUCACGAAGAACUCCGAUUGCGAAGGCAGCUCACUAGACUGUCACUGACACUGAUGCUCGAAAGUGUGGGUAUCAAACAGGAUUAGAUACCCUGGUAGUCCACACAGUAAACGAUGAAUACUCGCUGUUUGCGAUAUACAGUAAGCGGCCAAGCGAAAGCAUUAAGUAUUCCACCUGGGGAGUACGCCGGCAACGGUGAAACUCAAAGGAAUUGACGGGGGCCCGCACAAGCGGAGGAACAUGUGGUUUAAUUCGAUGAUACGCGAGGAACCUUACCCGGGCUUAAAUUGUAACAGAAUAUAUUGGAAACAGUAUAGCCGUAAGGCUGUUGUGAAGGUGCUGCAUGGUUGUCGUCAGCUCGUGCCGUGAGGUGUCGGCUUAAGUGCCAUAACGAGCGCAACCCUUAUCUUUAGUUACUAACAGGUCAUGCUGAGGACUCUAGAGAGACUGCCGUCGUAAGAUGUGAGGAAGGUGGGGAUGACGUCAAAUCAGCACGGCCCUUACGUCCGGGGCUACACACGUGUUACAAUGGGGGGUACAGAAGGCGGCUACCUGGUGACAGGAUGCUAAUCCCAAAAACCUCUCUCAGUUCGGAUCGAAGUCUGCAACCCGACUUCGUGAAGCUGGAUUCGCUAGUAAUCGCGCAUCAGCCAUGGCGCGGUGAAUACGUUCCCGGGCCUUGUACACACCGCCCGUCAAGCCAUGAAAGCCGGGGGUACCUGAAGUACGUAACCGCAAGGAGCGUCCUAGGGUAAAACUGGUAAUUGG
rnacentral:rRNA from 1 species